rnacentral:rRNA from 1 species
CUUCAGUGAUUAAAGAAUUUCNNUUGAAGAUGGGNGUGCGCCUGAUUAGGUAGUUGGUGAGGUAACGGCUCACCAAGCCGACGAUNAGNAACUGGCGUGAGAGCGCGACNAGUCNCACNGGCACUGANACACGGGCCCGACUCCUACGGGAGGCAGCAGUAAGGAAUAUUGGUCAAUGGACGCAAGUCUGAACCAGCCAUGCCGCGUGAAGGAUGAAGGNCCUCUGGGUCGUAAACUUCUUUUAUCUGGGACGAAACCACUUUUUUCUAAGAGUGUUGACGGUACCAGAGGAAUAAGCACCGGAUAACUCCGUGCCAGCANCCGCGGUAAUACGGAGGGUGCAAGCGUUAUNCGGAUUCACUGGGUUUAAAGGGUGCGUAGGCGGAUUUGNAAGUCCGUGGUGAAAUCUNCAGGNUUAACCUGGAAACUGCCAUGGAUACUAUAAAUCUUGAAUGUUGUGGANGUUAGCGGAAUA